CUACGGGAGGCAGCAGUAAGGAAUAUUGGACAAUGGGGGCAACCCUGAUCCAGCCAUGCCGCGUGCGGGAAGAAGGCCUUCGGGUUGUAAACCGCUUUUAGCCGGGAAGAAAAGGCGCAGGCUAAUACCCUGCGUUCUUGACGGUACCGGCGGAAUAAGCACCGGCUAACUACGUGCCAGCAGCCGCGGUAAUACGUAGGGUGCGAGCGUUAAUCGGAAUUACUGGGCGUAAAGCGUGCGCAGGCGGUUCGUUAAGUCAGAUGUGAAAGCCCCGGGCUCAACCUGGGAACGGCAUUUGAAACUGGCGGGCUGGAGUGUGGCAGAGGGGGGUGGAAUUCCGCGUGUAGCAGUGAAAUGCGUAGAGAUGCGGAGGAACACCGAUGGCGAAGGCAGCCCCCUGGGCUGACACUGACGCUCAGGCACGAAAGCGUGGGGAGCAAACAGGAUUAGAAACCCGAGUAGUCC
rnacentral:rRNA from 1 species